CCUACGGGAGGCAGCAGUGAGGAAUAUUGGUCAAUGGACGAGAGUCUGAACCAGCCAAGUAGCGUGAAGGAUGACUGCCCUAUGGGUUGUAAACUUCUUUUAUAUGGGAAUAAAAUGUUCCACGUGUGGGAUUUUGUAUGUACCAUAUGAAUAAGGAUCGGCUAACUCCGUGCCAGCAGCCGCGGUAAUACGGAGGAUCCGAGCGUUAUCCGGAUUUAUUGGGUUUAAAGGGAGCGUAGGUGGAUUGUUAAGUCAGUUGUGAAAGUUUGCGGCUCAACCGUAAAAUUGCAGUUGAAACUGGCAGUCUUGAGUACAGUAGAGGUGGGCGGAAUUCGUGGUGUAGCGGUGAAAUGCUUAGAUAUCACGAAGAACUCCGAUUGCGAAGGCAGUUCACUGGACUGCAACUCACACUGAGGCUCGAAAGUGUGGGUAUCAAACAGGAUUAGAUACCCCUGUAGUC
rnacentral:rRNA from 1 species